rnacentral:rRNA from 1 species
AGAAUCAACGCUGGCGGCGUGCCUAACACAUGCAAGUCGAACGAGAAAGUGGAGCAAUCCAUGAGUAAAGUGGCGACCGGGUGAGUAACACGUGACUAACCUACCUUCGAGUGGGGGAUAACCUCGGGAAACCGGGGCUAAUACCGCAUAACAUCUUUGAAGUGGAAAUUUCGGAGAUCAAAGGAGCAAUUCGCUGGAAGAGGGGGUCGCGGCUGAUUAGCUAGUUGGCGGGGUAACGGCCCACCAAGGCUUAGAUCGGUAGCCGGCCUGAGAGGGCGCACGGCCACACUGGAACUGAAACACGGUCCAGACUCCUACGGGAGGCAGCAGUGGGGAAUUUUGCGCAAUGGGGGGAAACCCUGACGCAGCAACGCCGCGUGGAGGAUGAAGUCCCUUGGGACGUAAACUCCUUUCGACCCGGACGAUAAUGACGGUACGGGUGGAAGAAGCCCCGGCUAACUUCGCGCCAGCAGCCGC